rnacentral:rRNA from 1 species
UACGGGGGGGGCAAGCGUUGUUCGGAAUUACUGGGCGUAAAAGGCGCGUAGGCGGCCAACUAAGUCGGAUGUGAAAUCCCCAGGCUCAACUUGGGAACUGCAUCCGAUACUGUCUGUCUUGAGGACGAGAGGGGAGAGUGGAACUUCUGGUGGAGCGGUGAAAUGCGUAGAUAUCAGAAGGAACGCCGGUGGCGAAAGCGACUCUCUGGCUCGUAUCUGACGCUGAGGCGCGAAAGCUUGGGUAGCAAACGGG